AGCAGUAGCCACGGUAAGACAGAGGGUGCAAACGUUGUUCGGAAUUACUGGGCGUAAAGCGAGUGUAGGCGGUUCGGUAAGUCGGAUGUGAAAGCCCCGGGCUCAACCCGGGAAGUGCACUCGAUACUACCAAGCUAGAGUACUGGAGAGGUUGGUGGAAUUCUCGGUGUAGAGGUGAAAUUCGUAGAUAUCGAGAGGAACACCGGUGGCGAAGGCGGCCAACUGGACAGAUACUGACGCUGAGACUCGAAAGCGUGGGGAGCAAACAGGAUUAGAUACCCGUGUAGUCCCUGUCUCUUAUAC
rnacentral:rRNA from 1 species